GUGCUUGCUUUGGCAGCACAUAUACUAAAAUUGGAACGAUACAAAGAAGAUUAGCAUGGCCCUUGUGCAAGGAUGACAUGCAAAUUCGUGAAGCGUUCCAUGUUUUU
rnacentral:snRNA from 1 species